rnacentral:rRNA from 1 species
UACGGAGGAUGCGAGCGUUAUCCGGAUUUAUUGGGUUUAAAGGGUGCGUAGGCGGCUUUUUAAGUCAGCGGUGAAAUUUUGCAGCUUAACUGUAACAGUGCCGUUGAUACUGGGGAGCUAGGAUUUGGUUGCUGUGGGUGGAAUGUGUGGUGUAGCGGUGAAAUGCUUAGAUAUUACACAGAACACCAAUUGCGUAGGCAGCUUACUGAGCCGACACUGACGCUGAGGCACGAAAGCGUGGGGAUCAAACAGGAUUAGAUACCCU